rnacentral:piRNA from 1 species
CCGCUUGUUAACUCCAUUGCUUCCUUUCAG